CGUAAGCAACCGGACCCAACCCGUGAUAAAUUCGACCCCAAUCCUUAAAGAACAAUUCAAAUAUAGGUUGAAAUAGCUUACCCGUUUACAGAACCUUCAUCUAACCCGAUCCGUAUUAACCUAACCCGACCUUACAUACAUAAAACGACCUCGUUUUAUCUAUACAUAAACAUAACUAUGUAAAUCAAAUAUCCUAACCCUAAUAAUCUCUCACUCUCACGACUCUCUACUCUUAGACUCUCACCAGCAACGACGCACUUCCUGCCUCUUGGUUCCUACUUCCGACACGCGAACUAGCAGACUUGCAGUUGCAGCCUUGUAGGUCGCUACUACUGCCUACUGCUUCCACGUUUCCCAUACGCGAAUAUCACAAAGUCAGUCUCAAGUAGGAUCUCUCACUCUCUCACGAUUUCGAAUCGAUAUCACAAGAGAAGGAGCAAGCCCAGAGUGGGCUACUGGUAGAAGGCACUGCCCCAAGCCCAACCUCUGCCAUUGCUUCUUAAGCUCUUGCUUUUAUGACAAACAUAUAUGAAAACAGAGACGGGUCUGACACAACAAAUCCAUACCAAGAUUUUUUCUUAACAAAUAACUAUGACAAUGCAGGGCCAAUAAUUGAAGUUGAACAUCUUAAUUGUAUUUGCUUAUCAAUUUACUUCUUUUUCCUUUUGUUGAAGCUUUUUUGUCAUAUAUUAUUUAUUAUGUCACUAGGCUCACAGCAGUGAUGAUCUCCCAUUUUGAUUUUUUUUUUCUUUAUUUCAUUCAUGGUGAUUGAGGUUUUCUCAUGCCUUCUUUUUGUUAUUGGAA